rnacentral:lncRNA from 1 species
UCCAAAAUCCACCCAAUACAGUGACCCAAAUGCUUAAAUUCUAGCCCACUAGGCACAAUACAAACAGCCCAUUAAUCUGCCCCAAACCAUUAACCCAAACUCAGAAACCCAAUACCAAAAAUAACAGGAAACCCUAGCCUUCCUCAGCAGCUUUCUGUUUCAAUCACCGCAGUACUAGCCCAGGCGCGCCUCUUCCCCGCGCGUGCCGCACCACCACACGCGUGCAUCUCCAGGCUGGCCUCGUACCUGCAACAACCAAAACAAAUGAAGCCAAGCAGCAAACGGAGGACUAACAGUACAACAAAUUUACAUCGAAUUAAAAAAUUGUAACAUAAUAGAAAAAGGAAAAACAAAAAAAAUAGAGAUUUUUGGUAUUUUCUUUUUGGCUAUAUAAAGCCAAAUAAAAAAU